GUGUGUGUGUUUACACAAUGAUGGUAUUAUAUGUAAGAGUGAGGUUAAAUAUACUAACCUGCAUCCUAUAAUCAAGGCUCCUUCAUUCCUUGACAUGAAUUCCCAGACCAAGCCAUCACCAUCUUAAUAGUUCUGAUUCCUUCCCUAUGCCCAUCUUCCUCUGGUUCUUCAUUUUCAGAGAAGGGCCUAAAGCUUUUUUAUGAUAUGAGUAACUUAUACUCUUCAUAAAAGGAAACUAACAUUUAUAAAGUGCCUACAAUGCAUUAUUUUUGUUUAACCCUAAAAAAUCAACAAGAUAGAUAUCAUUAGACAGCACCUUGAAAGGCAUGGCCACCCUUUUGUCCUGUUUCUCUUAUUUUCUCUGUGCUGGAAUGUGCAGGCAAUGGCUAGAGUUCCAGUCAAUGUGAACUACAGGGGACCUUGAAGGCAGAAGCCAUGACUGAGCAUGAAGCAACUCAAAGUAA
rnacentral:lncRNA from 10 species